CUGUAAUAGCAGUUGUGUGCCUAGGGAUCAGGUGCUUAGUGGUUCCUCUCCUAAGAACGUUCAGUAAAAAUCAGAUGCCAGCUGAGUUCCUGUCCCACAAUAUUCCCCUAAGGCUUUGCUCUUCACCGUCUGUCUCUUCUGCAGCCAGGAAACACAAAGUGUGCUUCAGAGCACAAAGGAAGAACAGUGCAUGUGAAUUACACGCUUUGGAUGGCAGAAAGGGGAUUAGGUGCCACAUUUGUCUGGGAUGCAGAGGGAUUACUGUGCUCUGAACUGUCGAUCUGCUAAGUAUAGAAAAGGCCACUUCUUGAGAGACAUCUGUUAGUUUGGAUGUUACUCAGCUUCUGUUUCCCACCAAGAUCAUUGCAAAUGAGAGAAUGGGUAAGUCACUGGCAGGAGAUACUCUGCCUGAGCUAUUCUUACUCUGUUGAGCAUAUGGCUCCAUUAUCUGUCACCACUUAGACCCAUGCCACUUUAUUUUGUUGAAAUAAAUUAAAAGCUGCUUGAUUUCUAAAUGCUCA
rnacentral:lncRNA from 1 species